GACGAACGCUGGCGGCGUGCCUAAUACAUGCAAGUCGAACGCAGUGGGGACGGGUGAGUAACACGUGGGUAACCUCCCAUCAGAGGGGAUAAACCUUGGAAACAGGUGCUAAACCGAUACUGAUGGAUGGACCAGCGGUGGAUUAGCUAGCUGGUGAGGUAACGGCUCACCAAGGCCACGAUGCAUAGCCGACCUGAGAGGGUGAUCCGCCACCCUGCGACUGAGACACGGCCCAGACUCCUACGUGAGGCAGCAGUAGGGAAUCUUCGGCAAUGGACGAAAGUCUGACCGAGCAACGCCGCGUGAGUGCAGAAGGUUUUCGGAUCGUAAAACUCUGUUGUUAGAGAAGCGGUAUCUAACCAGAAAGCCACGGCUAACUACGUGCCAGCAGCCGCGGUAAUUC
rnacentral:rRNA from 1 species